AGAAACUAACAAGGAUUCCCCUAGUAACUGCGAGUGAAGCGGGAAAAGCUCAAAUUUAAAAUCUGGCGCAAGCCCGAGUUGUAAUCUAGAGAAGUGUUUUCGGCCGUUACCCUGGGAAAGUCUCUUGGAACAGAGCGUCAUAGAGGGUGAGAGUCCCGUCUUUACCAGGCNUCUAAUGUCCAUGUGAUGCACUCUCGAAGAGUCGAGUUGUUUGGGAUUGCAGCUCAAAACGGGUGGUAAAUUCCAUCUAAAGCUAAAUAUUGGUGGGAGACCGAUAGCGAACAAGUACCGUGAGGGAAAGAUGAAAAGCACUUUGGAAAGAGAGUUAAACAGUACGUGAAAUUGUUGAAAGGGAAGCGCUUGAAGUCAGUCGCGUUCUGUGGACUCAGCCCUAACCGGUGCACUUCUACUGAACGGGCCAACAUCAGUUUCAGCCGCAGAAAAAGGGCUCGAGGAAUGUGGCAACUUCGGUUGUGUUAUAGCCUCCUGUCGUACGCUGCGGAUGGGACUGAGGACUGCCAUUGUAGGAUGUUGGCGUAAUGGCUUUAAGCGACCC
rnacentral:rRNA from 1 species